CUCUAGAAAUAUCGGCUCUUUCAUCUCUUUUCACAAAGAAAUGCUCCUCCAUUUUUUUGCUAGAAUCUCUUCAUCUUCUUAAUUGAGUGACAAUUAAUGACGAGAUUCAUGCCUUUUUGGUUGUAGUUUCAAUUGAGUUCCAAUUGCCCAUUUAUUAAUUAUAUGAUUUUUAUAGUUCUUAAAUGAGGUUUCUCCAUAAUAAUGCUCUUUUGUCAUUCUUGCCAUGUCGGCUUAAAACUCAUGUGGCUACUUCUAUUUCCCUUAUUUUCAUUUGGAAUAUCUAUUUAUUUGCUUCUAUAUGUAUGAGAAUUUUAUCUUGCAAUUGUCUUUUGGAUUUAAUUAUGAUUUUCUUUUUCUUUGGGAGCUUUUGAAUUAUAUUUAUUUUCGAAACUUUUGUUUGUGUGUAUUUUUUCACAUGUUCCAGAAAUUUGCAGGGAUGAGAGGGUAUUAUCGAAUUGGUUUCUCCUUAACACUUUGACGGUUCUUUAAUUGCAUCUAAAUUAUCAAAGUGAAACCUUAUGUCUAAGCUCUAAAGAACCAAAAUAUACGAUGGAAUUUCCUUCUAAAGAUUCACCCUUUCCGGGUUCCAUCAGGACCUGGUCAUUCCAGUAAUGAAUUUUCAUAAUGAAGACAAGGGUUUUAUGUGUUUGGUUGGAGAUGUUUUUGAUGUGCCAAUUAGGAAGGAUAUUAUUCAUCGUGUUGUAAGAUAAGAUGACAGCUAGCAAAACAACAACAGGGAGGCUUACUGGGGAAAAAAGAGAAUCAGGAUGAUCAUUUUGAGGCAUAUGAAGACCACAAAAACUCAUAUGCCUUUUGGGGAAAAUCGCAUUGCUAAAGAAAAUUGUUGCAUACAAAAAAUGAUCUAAGGCGUAUCAUUUAAACCUCAUAUUCUCCUACUUGUUUACUAUCUUUAUGCUUGUUACCCUGAUUCUAUAAGCUUUGUAAAUUAUAGUUACUUGCCAAGGCAAUAGAGGAUUCAAAUGGUGUUGUUGACCUACUCUUGAUGAAUGUUGCAGGGAACCCAUUUAACUAAAACUAUUAGUGAAGUUACUGGGGCUGGUAGAAAACCGUGGUGUCAUAAGGGAACUGGGCGAGCAAGGCCUGGAACACUGCGUGGUGCUCAGAAUUAACCGUACAUCACAUGUUGGAAAACAACAAAUACUCCCACUUAGCUUUACGGGAGGCCCAAGAGAUAUGCGCUGAAGGUAUAUGGAUGUUAUUGCAUUAGUGCAACGCUUUGGAAAACCUGAUAUAUUUUUGACUAUGACCUGUAAUCCUUCUUGGCCUGAAAUAAAAGAAAACCUCCUGUCAA